rnacentral:rRNA from 1 species
GAUGAACGCUGGCGGCGUGCCUAAUACAUGCAAGUCGAGCGAACGGACGAGGCGCUUGCCCCGAUUCCGUUAGCGGCGGAUGGGUGAGGACCAGGUGGCUACCCUACCUAUAGGACUGAGAUACGUACGGGAGCGCGAAGCUCACACAGGUCCUUAUAGUGAACGGCGGGGUUCAUCAGAGAACGCGGUAUUAGUUGAGCCUAAUUGAGGGUUCCGAGCCGCAUUAGUUAGUUGGUAAGGUAACGGCUUACCAAGGCAACGAUGCGUAGCCGACCUGAGAGGGUGAUCGGCCACACUGGAACUGAGACACGGUCCAGACUCCUACGGGAGGCAGCAGUAGGGAAUCUUCCACAAUGGGCGAAAGCCUGACGGAGCAACGCCGCGUGAGUGAAGAAGGUCUUCGGAUCGUAAAACUCUGUAAUUAGGGAAGAACAAAUGUGAAAGAAACUAUGCACGUCUUGACGGUACCUAAACAGAAAGCCACGGCUAACUACGUG